AUGCUAAUAAAUUGGCACGUUAGCACGUUAUUGCAAUAUCCCAUAGUACAUACAUGUUAUUAAAACUUGAACUAAUGCAUUGUGAGUCUUAUAAAUUGCUUACAUACCUCACCGAUUUCCCACUGUCUGGAAAACGCUCGGUUUAGUUCCUGUCUCCGCCUCCCAAAAUGUCUAGUGUAAUCGGAUUGGUCAGAUGACUACUCAACUGUUAUUGGUCAGCUGGGUUCGGCUUGUGUUUGAAAGUUACGCCCCUGACUACGCGUGGGUUGACACAGAUUCUGACUGAGUCACAGCCUCAGAGGCAUCGUAAACAAGCGUUAUAUUUCUCUAUAAACGAUGGUGUCUGUACUGCCUUACCACUUCGAGCUCGAUCCAGAGAGUUCAGACGGCCGUUACGAUAUAAACGAUCUCCGUCAAUGAAUGCGAUUGGAUUUAACUUUUUUAGGUGUCCUUAGCUCUGCCAGAAUGCUAAACGAAGACGAAAAUGUGUUGCAAAGACAUCCAAAAGGUAAUUAUAACGUACUACAUAACUAUAUGGAAACACCAAAUGUAGCACAUAUAAAGUAUUUGUUGAAAUGAUUAUAAAACGAUUUCACUUGGUAAUUUCUACAUUAUUUUACUCUAGUAAAAUUUAUUAUAAGACUGCUUACAUACUGUAUUACUGUGCAAACUAUAUGGAAACACCAAAUGUAGCACAUAUAAAGUAUUUGUUGAAAUGAUUAUAAAAUGAUUUUACUUGGUAAUUUCUACAUUAUUUUACUCUAGUAAAAUUUAUUAUAAGACUGCUUACAUACUGUAUUACUGUGCAAACUAUAUGGAAACACCAAAUGUAGCACAUAGAAAGUAUUUGUUGAAAUGAUUAUAAAACGAUUUCACUUGGUAAUUUCUACAUUAUUUUACUCUAGUAAAAUUUAUUAUAAGACUGCUUACAUACUGUAUUACUGUGCAAACUAUAUGGAAACACCAAAUGUAGCACAUAUAAAGUAUUUGUUGAAAUGAUUAUAAAAUGAUUUUACUUGGUAAUUUCUACAUUAUUUUACUCUAGUAAAAUUUAUUAUAAGACUGCUUACAUACUGUAUUACUGUGCAAACUAUAUGGAAACACCAAAUGUUGCACAUAGAAAGUAUUUGUUGAAAUGAUUAUAAAACGAUUUCACUUGGUAAUUUCUACAUUAUUUUACUCUAGUAAAAUUUAUUAUAAGACUGCUUACAUACUGUAUUACUGUGCAAACUAUAUGGAAACACCAAAUGUAGCACAUAUAAAGUAUUUGUUGAAAUGAUUAUAAAAUGAUUUUACUUGGUAAUUUCUACAUUAUUUUACUCUAGUAAAAUUUAUUAUAAGACUGCUUACAUACUGUAUUACUGUGCAAACUAUAUGGAAACACCAAAUGUUGCACAUAGAAAGUAUUUGUUGAAAUGAUUAUAAAACGAUUUCACUUGGUAAUUUCUACAUUAUUUUACUCUAGUAAAAUUUAUUAUAAGACUGCUUACAUACUGUAUUACUGUGCAAACUAUAUGGAAACACCAAAUGUAGCACAUAUAAAGUAUUUGUUGAAAUGAUUAUAAAACGAUUUCACUUGGUAAUUUCUACAUUAUUUUACUCUAGUAAAAUUAAUUAUAAAAUACUGCUUACAUACUAUUUUACUGUGCAAACUAUAUGGAAACAACAAAUGUAGCACAAAAAAAGUAUUAAUUGAAAUGAAUGUUAGUUCUACAUUAUUUUACUAUGGUAAACUUUAUUAUGAAAGACUGUGCUAUGUUUUUACUUACUAGGUUUUAAGGAGAAUGCAACAGGUUCCAGGGCCUCUUACCUGCGUGAUUCAUCAUCCAGGUUUUGCACAAAUUGUCUAAAUCCCUACACACAGAACAUUUAUUGUACCGACUAUAAGCCUUUGAGGCGCAGGACUAGAAUACGCUUGGAGCUUCCUGAUCGGAAUGUUGGCUUCCGACGACCCCUGCACUGAAGAUGGCAUGCAAUCACGUCCUCCUUUGAAGGUCUCUCAAACUGUGAUGCCAGGUCCAUUGGAAUCGGGGUUUCCUUCAGCUUAUCUUCAAAUACCUCAGCAAACACAAGCCUGAUCACAUCAUCCACAUAACUGUAGAAAUAUUGCGGUCAAAUCUUUUGUUUUGAUAAUUUAUUUCCCUGCUUCAUACAUUAAGUUUUUAAUUAUGAAUGUAUUUGAAAUAAAACAUUACUGCUUA